rnacentral:rRNA from 1 species
UACGUAGGGGGCAAGCGUUGUCCGGAUUUAUUGGGCGUAAAGAGCGUGUAGGCGGCCUGGUAGGUCAGUUGUGAAAACUCGAGGCUCAACCUCGAGACGCCGAUUGAAACCAUCAGGCUAGAGUCCGGAAGAGGAGAGUGGAAUUCCCGGUGUAGCGGUGAAAUGCGCAGAUAUCGGGAAGAACACCCGUGGCUAAGGCGGCUCUCUAGUACGGUACUGACGCUGAGACGCGAAAGCGUGGGGAGCGAACGAGG